UACGUAGGUGACAAGCGUUAUCCGGAAUUACUGGGCGUAAAGCGCACGCAGGCGGCUGCGUAAGUCUGACGUGAAAUCUCCCGGCUUAACCGGGAGCGGUCGUUGGAAACUAUGCGGCUUGAGGCGAUGAGAGGGGUGUGGAAUUCCCGGUGUAGUGGUGGAAUGCGUAGAUAUCGGGAGGAACACCCGUGGCGAAGGCGGUUCUCUGGGACGGUACUGACGCUGAGACGCGAAAGCGUGGGGAGCGAACAGG
rnacentral:rRNA from 1 species